ACCCAUUUUAGACAAACUUUAAAUUGCAAGAGCAGCUAGUACCCCGGUGGUAGAAUCAUCAUGAUUUCUCAUUCUGUCUAAUUGACAAUUGUUACCAACAGAACGUAAAAGCGUGAUGAUUUUGCCGCCAGGGUAGUAACGGAUCGAAUUUAAAUCGCCUUUUUGUUUGAGCUACAAUGAAUUGAAUAAGUGACCAAUUAUCUUAAUUAUGAAUCCUGAUAUUUGUUAAGUUUAAGAUUUUGUCGCGGAAUGUGCAGCUAUAGUGUAACGCAAAUAUGACCGUACAAUUUAGGGAUAUGAAGUAAGUGUUACAGCGUGUAUUACAUAGGGUUUUCCCGUAAGAAAUUGUCCGUUCGUAUUCAAACGAUAGAGAUCUUUAAUACUGAUCAGAACGGAUGUCUUCGAGUGCUGCGCGGUAAGCUAAUAUUUUACAUUAAUCAUCUAUCGUGAUAGUAAUGCAUUAUUUUUAAACGGGCAAUGCUGUUUGGUUUUACUUCGAUGAAAUUUGUU